UAACUAUCUGUGCAGAGUUCUCCUGUGCUCAGACCUGAGAGGAUGCACAUUCUGCAGGUGCUCUGUGCCUUGUGGUGCCUGCGCUCAGUGUGUCUGGCUGCCGAUGUUAUCCAGGAGCCGACGUUCCAGUUGCUGUAUCCGGGGAACGCCGUGUCUCUGUCUUGUGUGCACGCCGAUUCCAGUUAUUAUAAUAAAUAUUGGUAUUAUCAUAAGAAGGGAGAAGCUCUGGCCCUCAUUGGAUACACAACUAGCGGCUCUGACCCCAUUAUGGAGAACCAGUUCACGGAUGGAAGAAUAAUUAUCCAGUCAAUAACUACUCAGAAAAGCCUCUUAAACAUCUCCAGAAUUUCUGCCCAAGACAGUGCAGUAUAUUACUGUGCUAGCAGCAUCCACAGUGAGAGAACAGCUGCUAGAGACUGUGCAAAUCUCACAGCCCUCCCUGCUACAUCACACAGCUGGGGGAGCAGCACUGAAAGACAGUCAUAUAGCAAUAUCUUCCCUUCCUAUUCUUAUAAUGUCACUGCCCCUGUCACAUGCAGUCCGUGUCGGACUGGGUCAUGAAGGGCCCACCGGGGAAA